rnacentral:rRNA from 1 species
AUUGAACGCUGGCGGCAGACUUAACACAUGCAAGUCGAGCGGAGAUGAGGUGCUUGCACCUUAUCUUAGCGGCGGACGGGUGAGUAAUGCUUAGGAAUCUGCCUAUUAGUGGGGGACAACAUUCCGAAAGGAAUGCUAAUACCGCAUACGACCUACGGGAGAAAGCAGGGGAUCUUCGGACCUUGCGCUAAUAGAUGAGCCUAAGUCGGAUUAGCUAGUUGGUGGGGUAAAGGCCUACCAAGACGACGAUCUGUAGCGGGUCUGAGAGGAUGAUCCGCCACACUGGGACUGAGACACGGCCCAGACUCCUACGGGAGGCAGCAGUGGGGAAUAUUGGACAAUGGGGGGAACCCUGAUCCAGCCAUGCCGCGUGUGUGAAGAAGGCCUUAUGGUUGUAAAGCACUUUAAGCGAGGAGGAGGCUACUGAGACUAAUACUCUUGGAUAGUGGACGUUACUCGCAGAAUAAGCACCGGCUAACUCUGUGCCAGCCGCCGCCGUAAAAC